AGGGAACUCAUCUUAAAGAGGCCUGGCCCUUAAAGAGACAGGGCCACACACCGCGAACUAUAACGGUAAUCCUGAAACGCACUGGCUAGGCUCUGAUGCUCCUUUGUCCUCACUUUCUCGAAUGUUGAGCCGCCAUCUCUUGGAGCUGGUCUCCUUGACAAUCUGCCCUCAGCCCCUGAAGCCCCUCCCUGGACCUCACAGGGACGGGGGCCAGCCUGGCUGGUGGCGUCAGAGCUCCUGGCAGAACAGUGCAGGGCUGAGAGUCAUCUGCAGAACUCUGGCCGAGACAGCAAGAAGCACAGCCAGCUUCAGGAGAAUAGUGGCCACGAGAGGGCAGAGGGCCAGCCUGUGAGCUCUGGCCCCAGAUGGACUUGCCUCUGCUUCACUUGGGGCUGAUAAGGUUGGAGCCGUUGAACUUUGUCUCUGGGUUCUGGGGACUUGGAGGAUCCUUCUCUUCUCUCUUCUGCCUGCCUAUUUCCAAAUGCUGAUGGGGACGCUGUGACUUCAGCUACGGGGCGGACGACUACGACGCAGAGGGGAAUGAGGAGCAGAAGGGGCCCCCGGAGGGCUCGGAGACCAUGCCGUACAUCGACGAGUCGCCCACCAUGUCGCCACAGCUCAGCGCCCGGAGCCAGGGCGGCGGGGACAGCAUCUCCCCCACUCCACCCGAGGGGCUGGCACCUGGGGUGGAAGCAGGGAAGGGCCUGGAGAUGAGGAAGCUGGUUCUCUCGGGGUUUCUGGCCAGCGAAGAGAUCUAUAUUAACCAGCUGGAAGCUCUGUUGUUGGUAAGUAUGUAGUUUGGGGUCUUUGUGCCCUGAGACUGUGUUUGGAAUUGGAGAGAGAGGUGGACCAGUCCUUCCCAGGGCCAGGGUCUGUGGACUGCUCUGCCUACGGCUUGGCAGCCAAGGUCAUUGCCAGAGAGGCCCGUGCCUCUUGGCCCCGAGUCUCCAUUACUUACCCUGGGAAAGGUAGGAGGAGAAGCACCACCUGGCUAGGGGUGACAAACACGCCAUCACCCCUAACGACAGUGCAGACAUUACUAAUGGAUCACAGUGCUCUGUCCAGGUGGGACCUUAGCCUCCGCCUCCAGCUGAUGCUGUGGGCAGUCUCUACCAAUCAAUCACGUUGAGGCCUCUUUGUCAUCCCUGGUCCCAGUCCUUCCUCCUCCCUGGAAUACUGAACUAUUAGCACCAUCCUGAGGCCUUCUGGCGGGAAAUGAGGUGGCAGGCUGUCUGUGUCAUUCUCAGAAGCACCAUAGCUCUGAGGCAUUAGACAGACCGCCACCCUCUGUGAAUGUGCCUUAGUUUCUUCUCCAAGCUGGAGGCGUUGUGAGAAUCGGACUGGGAGGGGAAUAAUACAGUGUUUUCAAAAGGUAGAAGUAACCACAGAUGUAAGAUGUUUUUGCCUCUGAAGAAAGUGCGUAUUAGAUGUGUCUGGAUAUUAUGCAGAGUGAUUGUGCGUGGAAAGUUCUCUUCCCGGGGUGUUUUGCAGACUGAGACAUCAGAUGAUAUCAGAACAAGGAGGAAUAAGAAAUGAAGAUGUAGAUCAGUAGAAAGAGUACUGUAAGAUCUGCAUUUAUGUACUUGCUGAGAUGUGAGCUGUUGUCACCAGGUAUCCCAGGGGGCUUACCAUUUGUUACCCCAGGAGUAACUGCUGAGGUGUGUCGCUGCUUUGUAACACAGGGGAAUGAGUUGGUGGUCGAUCUUACUGGGAAUCUGUUGGUCUUCACAGUUAUUUCUUCAAGGGAGGAACAGUUUGGCAGGUCGAUAAGGACUCUGGUCUGGGGCCAGAGCUGAGGCAAGACUUGACGCUGCCAUGAAUAGUAGACUUACUGCCCUGCCUUUCUAACUACGAGUCAUGAUUGGUAGUGGAUUGCUCAAUCAGCGAAGUGGGGUGAACCAGCAUUUUAAAACGAAUGAGAAAGUAAAUGUCGGCAUGCAUCCCAUGUAGUAAGAAUAAGUACUGUUUCAGGCAGCUUUUGGUUUGUGUGGAUAUGUGUAUGUAUAUUGGAGAAGGCAAUGGCAACCCA